UACGUAGGGUGCAAGCGUUGUCCGGAAUCAUUGGGCGUAAAGCGCGCGUAGGUGGUUUCGUAAGUCCGUUGUGAAAGUCAAAGGCUCAACCUUUGAAAGCCGAUGGAUACUGCGGAGCUAGAGUACGGAAGAGGCGAGUGGAAUUCCUGGUGUAGCGGUGGAAUGCGCAGAUAUCAGGAGGAACACCGAUGGCGAAGGCAGGUCUCUGGGCCGAUACUGACGCUGAGGAGCGAAAGCGUGGGGAGCGAACAGG
rnacentral:rRNA from 1 species